rnacentral:rRNA from 1 species
UACAGAGGUCUCAAGCGUUGUUCGGAUUCAUUGGGCGUAAAGGGUUCGUAGGCGGUGUGGCAAGUCGGGAGUGAAAUUUCUGGGCUCAACUCAGAGACUGCUUCCGAAACUGCUGUGCUUGAGUGUGGGAGAGGCGCGUGGAAUUGCAGGUGUAGCGGUGAAAUGCGUAGAUAUCUGCAGGAACACCCGUGGCGAAAGCGGCGCGCUGGACCACUACUGACGCUGAGGAACGAAAGCUAGGGGAGCAAACGGG